rnacentral:rRNA from 1 species
ACGCUGGCGGCAGGCCUUACACAUGCAAGUCGAGCGCGAACGUUCCUUCGGGAACUAUUAGAGCGGCGGACGGGUGAGUAACGCGUUGGAAUCUUCCCAGUAGUGGGGGACAACAGCCGGAAACGGCUGCUAAUACCGCAUACGCCCUACGGGGGAAAGCAGGGGAUCUUCGGACCUUGCGCUAUUGGAUGAGCCCGCGUCGGAUUAGUUUGUUUGUUGGGUAAUGGCCUACCAAGACGACGAUCCGUAGCUGGUCUGAGAGGAUGAUCAGCCACACUGGAACUGAGACACGGUCCAGACUCCUACGGGAGGCAGCAGUGGGGAAUAUUGCACAAUGGGCGAAAGCCUGAUGCAGCCAUGCCGCGUGUGUGAAGAAGGCUCUAGGGUUGUAAAGCACUUUCAGCGAGGAGGAAAACGUGGUCAUUAAUACUUGGCCAUUCUUGACGUUACUCGCAGAAGAAGCACCGGCUAACUCCGUGCCAGCAGCCCGCGGUAAUACGGAGGGUGCAAGCGUUAAUCGGAAUUACUUGGGCGUAAAGCGCACGUAGGCGGUUUGUUAAGCUAGCUUGUGAAAGCCCCGGGCUCAACCUGGGAACUGCAGUUAGAACUGGCAAGCUAGAGUACAGUAGAAGGGGUGUUGGAAUUUCAGGUGUACCGGUGAAAUGCCUAGAUAUCUGAAGGAACAUCAUUGGCGAAGGCGACACCCUGGACUGAUACUUGACGCUGAGGUGCGAAAGCCUGGGGAGCAAACAGGAUUAGAUACCCUGGUAGUCCACGCCGUAAACGAUGUCUACUAGCCGUUGGGGUCCUUGAGACUUUAGUGGCGCACCUAACGCACUAAGUAGACCGCCUGGGGAGACGGCCGCAAGGUUAAAACUCAAAUAAUUGACGGGGGCCGCACAAGCGGUGGAGCAUGUGGUUUAAUUCGACGCAACGGCGAAGAACCUUACCAGGUCUUGACAUCCUGCGAACUUUCUAGAGAUAGAUUGGUGCCUUCGGGAACGCAGUGACAGGUGCUGCAUGGCUGUCGUCAGCUCGUGUCGUGAGAUGUUGGGUUAAGUCCCGUAACGAGCGCAACCCUUGUCCUUAGUUGCCAGCACAUAAUGGUGGGAACUCUAAGGAGACUGCCGGUGACAAACCGGAGGAAGGUGGGGACGACGUCAAGUCAUCAUGGCCCUUACGACCUGGGCUACACACGUGCUACAAUGGGCGGUACAAAGGGUUGCCAAGCCGCGAGGUGGAGCUAAUCCCAUAAAACCGUUCGUAGUCCGGAUUGGAGUCUGCAACUCGACUCCAUGAAGUCGGAAUCGCUAGUAAUCAGUAAAUCAGAAUGUUACGGUGAAUACGUUCCCGGGCCUUGUACACACCGCCCGUCACACCAUGGGAGUGGGUUGCUCCAGAAGUGGUUAGCCUAACCUUCGGGAGGC